UAUACAUGCAAGUCGAGCGAACUGAUUAGAAGCUUGCUUCUAUGACGUUAGCGGCGGACGGGUGAGUAACACGUGGGCAACCUGCCUGUAAGACUGGGAUAACUCCGGGAAACCGGAGCUAAUACCGGAUAACAUUUUCUCUUGCAUAAGAGAAAAUUGAAAGAUGGUUUCGGCUAUCACUUACAGAUGGGCCCGCGGUGCAUUUACUAGUUGGUGAGGUAACGGCUCACCAAGGCAACGAUGCAUAGCCGACCUGAGAGGGUGAUCGGCCACACUGGGACUGAGACACGGCCCAGACUCCUACGGGAGGCAGCAGUAGGGAAUCUUCCGCAAUGGACGAAAGUCUGACGGAGCAACGCCGCGUGAGUGAUGAAGGCUUUCGGGUCGUAAAACUCUGUUGUUAGGGAAGAACAAGUACAAGAGUAACUGCUUGUACCUUGACGGUACCUAACCAGAAAGCCACGGCUAACUACGUGCCAGCAGCCGCGGUAAUACGUAGGUGGCAAGCGUUAUCCGGAAUUAUUGGGCGUAAAGCGCGCGCAGA
rnacentral:rRNA from 2 species